GUCGAACGGUAACAGGAAGCAGCUUGCUGCUUUGCUGACGAGUGGCGGACGGGUGAGUAAUGUCUGGGAAACUGCCUGAUGGAGGGGGAUAACUACUGGAAACGGUGGCUAAUACCGCAUAACGUCGCAAGACCAAAGAGGGGGACCUUCGGGCCUCUUGCCAUCAGAUGUGCCCAGAUGGGAUUAGCUUGUUGGUGAGGUAACGGCUCACCAAGGCGACGAUCCCUAGCUGGUCUGAGAGGAUGACCAGCCACACUGGAACUGAGACACGGUCCAGACUCCUACGGGAGGCAGCAGUGGGGAAUAUUGCACAAUGGGCG
rnacentral:rRNA from 1 species